GCCGAGGUGGCAGAGAUGGUCAACGCACUCGUCUGAAAAACGAGCAAUGUCGGUUCGAGUCCGACCCUCGGCA
rnacentral:tRNA from 1 species